rnacentral:rRNA from 1 species
AAAUGCGUAGAUAUAUGGAGGAACACCAGUGGCGAAGGCGGCUCUCUGGUCUGUAACUGACGCUGAGGCUCGAAAGCGUGGGGAGCGAACAGGAUUAGAUACCCUGGUAGUCCACGCCGUAAACGAUGAGUGCUAAGUGUUGGAGGGUUUCCGUCCUUCAGUGCUGCAGCAAACGCAUUAAGCACUCCGCCUGGGGAGUACGACCGCAAGGUUGAAACUCAAAGGAAUUGACGGGGGCCCGCACAAGCGGUGGAGCAUGUGGUUUAAUUCGAAGCAACGCGAAGAACCUUACCAGGUCUUGACAUCCUUUGACCACUCUAGAGAUAGAGCUUCCCCUUCGGGGGCAAAGUGACAGGUGGUGCAUGGUUGUCGUCAGCUCGUGUCGUGAGAUGUUGGGUUAAGUCCCGCAACGAGCGCAACCCUUAUUGUUAGUUGCCAUCAUUUAGUUGGGCACUCUAGCGAGACUGCCGGUGACAAACCGGAGGAAGGUGGGGAUGACGUCAAAUCAUCAUGCCCCUUAUGACCUGGGCUACACACGUGCUACAAUGGGAAGUACAACGAGUUGCGAAGUCGCGAGGCUAAGCUAAUCUCUUAAAGCUUCUCUCAGUUCGGAUUGUAGGCUGCAACUCGCCUACAUGAAGCCGGAAUCGCUAGUAAUCGCGGAUCAGCACGCCGCGGUGAAUACGUUCCCGGGCCUUGUACACAC